AUCGUGCUCAAUGCUGCCAAGGAUCAACGCGAUCCGGUCCGACGGUGGGUUCCGUGGCUGUGUGCCUAUUCCGGCGCACGAGUCUCGGAGGUCUG
rnacentral:misc_RNA from 1 species